GACGAACCGUGCGAACGUUGUUCGGAAUUACUGGGCGUAAAGGGCUUGUAGGUGGCCAACUAAGUCAGACGUGAAAUCCCUCGGCUUAACCGGGGAACUGCGUCUGAUACUGGAUGGCUUGAGUGUGGGAGAGGGAUGCGGAAUUCCAGGUGUAGCGGUGAAAUGCGUAGAUAUCUGGAGGAACACCGGUGGCGAAGGCGGCAUCCUGGACCAUUACUGACACUGAAAAGCGAAAGCCAGGGGAGCAAACGGG
rnacentral:rRNA from 1 species